rnacentral:rRNA from 1 species
AAUCAACGCUGGCGGCGUGCCUAACACAUGCAAGUCGAGCGCGAAAGGGGAGUAAUCCCCAAGUAGAGCGGCGAACGGGUGAGUAACGCGUGGGUGAUCUACCUCCGAGUGGGGAAUAACCCCGGGAAACUGGGGCUAAUACCGCAUGACAUCCCUGAGUCACAUCGGGGAUCAAAGCCGGGGACCGCAAGGCCUGGCGUUUGGAGAUGAGCCCGCGUCCGAUUAGCUAGUUGGCGGGGAACGGCCCACCAAGGCUUCGAUCGGUAGCCGGCCUGAGAGGGCGGACGGCCACACUGGGACUGAGACACGGCCCAGACUCCUACGGGAGGCAGCAGUGGGGAAUUUUUCGCAAGUGGGGGAAACCCUGACGAAGCAACGCCGCGUGGAGGAUGAAGGCC